AAUUGAGGUCUGGUCCCGACCGAAAGGUUAACCUUUUGUUAACCUUUCGGCGGCAGUCUGACAUCAAUACCCGCUUGCUCCUUGACCACGGAUGAACUGGCACCGAGCCGAGCGGAUGACGAAAGGCCGGGCGACCGGCCUUUUUGUAU
rnacentral:sRNA from 1 species